GGGGGAUAUUGCACAAUGGAGGAAACUCUGAUGCAGCGACGCCGCGUGAGGGAAGAAGGUCUUCGGAUUGUAAACCUCUGUCUUCGGGGACGAAAGAAAUGACGGUACUCGAGGAGGAAGCCACGGCUAACUACGUGCCAGCAGCCGCGGUAAAACGUAGGUGGCAAGCGUUAUCCGGAAUUACUGGGUGUAAAGGGAGCGCAGGCGGAACUGCAAGUUGGAUGUCAAAUCUACGGGCUCAACCCGUAUACGCAUUCAAAACUGCGGUUCUUGAGUAGUGCAGAGGUAGGCGGAAUUCCCGGUGUAGCGGUGGAAUGCGUAGAUAUCGGGAGGAACACCAGUGGCAAAGGCGGCCUGCUGGGCACCAACUGACGCUGAGGCUCGAAAGCAUGGGUAGCAAAC
rnacentral:rRNA from 1 species